UACGUAGGAGACGAGCGUUGUCCGGAGUUACUGGGCGUAAAGGGUGCGUAGGCGGCGCGGUAAGUCGGAUGUGAAAUCUCGGAGCUUAACUUCGAAACUGCAUUCGAUACUGCCGUGCUUGAGGACUGGAGAGGAGACUGGAAUUUACGGUGUAGCGGUGAAAUGCGUAGAUAUCGUAAGGAAGACCAGUGGCGAAGGCGGGUCUCUGGACAGUUCCUGACGCUGAGGCACGAAGGUCAGGGGAGCAAACGGG
rnacentral:rRNA from 1 species